GUAGCCCAGAGACGCCCCGGAACCGGAAGCGUUCUGGUAAAGCCAUACGCUGCCGUACUUGUCGGUUUGCUCCGGUGCGUAGCCUCUGGCCACUUAAUUCGGCGGGAUCUGCCAACAGAGAAGUCUGGUUUUCCAAAAGGGGAAGGGAAUGGUCCCUGUCAUCCAUCUAGCCAAUUUUCAGUUGGUGAUCCAGAUGGAACCCGAGUAAGGGCCUCCAGCCCCCGGGACUGCCUCUCAGAAGAACUCUUCUCAAAAGACUGCCCCGGAGGACGGACUCCCCCUCGGGCCUAACCCAAAUUCUUCCGAGGCAAGGUAAGCUCCUAAAUGGGAGAUCCUUAUCAACAAAAUGGAAAUUUUUUGUCUUAUGUAGAGCAGUCUUUGGUGCAAGUAGAACAAUCCCUGUUGCAGAUAGAGCAGUCUCUCCUGCGUGAAGGGGAAGAAGAAUUACUUCUUCAGAAAGCAAAGGAAUCUCUCUUACAGAUAGAGAAGUUUCUCCUGCACCUAGGCAAGUCUUUGGAACACUUAGACAGUUAUUAUACAGGUAGAGUUAAAUCGGCAAUAAGGCAGACCUUGAAAUGAUUUCCUUCCAGAAAAUUGUGUAUACUAACUUUGCAGAAAGGUCGCAAAUUUGAAACAAAUCUCUCAGGAAAAGAAGUGAAGUUAGAAACAAAAUUUGUAGCACUGGCGACUUCCUUUUUUGGUUCCAUUUGGCCAAAGUAAAAUAGUUUUUCAGCUGAUAAAAUUCUUUCAGUUUCAAUUCAUCAUGCAGACAGUUCUGGCUUUACUGAAGUGGACCACCUUUCCACAGAUCUUUACCCAAAGUAAUUUUAUAUGAUGGGAAUGAGGUGAGAGUUUAUUCCAACCACCCAUUUCACUUAGCCUAAAGGCAUAUGCAGAAUGAUUCCUUUAUGCACCUAAUAAAGCCUACUAAGGCGCGGUAAACACUAUCUAUGAAAACAAACUAUUAUGAAUUGAAAGAUAAAGUUAUAAUUACUAUCUAAUAAGAUAUAGAAGUAUGCUACUCCUUCCCUACCUGCCCCACCAAACCUUUAUCACUGGUGAUGAUUCUUCCCAUAAGGUCAAAUUUGCAUAAUGAAAAUGUACACAAAGCAAGAACUGCCUGUAUUUAGUUGCUGCAAAUAAAGUCAGUCCCUGGGUCCCCCUUAUACUGUUGGACCCCGGGCUUAAGCUGGCUACCUCUCUUGGCACUACAAAUGGUAGCGGCCAUCCUGAAACUCACUUGAACAUGGUGCUGUGAUAACUGUCUUGAGAGCAAGGGCUACCAGUUAGAAUGCCGUGGACUGCCAAAAGGGACUCCCAGUUAGAUCCAUGAGCCAAGGACAAGGUCACUGAUUAAGACCCUGAAGGCAAGCUGCAGCUGCUUAGCCAGGGGAACUGAGCCAUAGAAGAGAGCAAGGGACACAACUGCCUUGGACAGGGACUCCUUGGGAAUAAACUCCUUGCUGGAGGUUUUCCUCUCUUUCUGAAGGGAGAUCCUAAGAACUAUAUCUAUGUAAUUACACAAGUCUUCUUAAUUUGAAACUGGACUGCAAAAAUUCACGAAGAGCUACGAAAUGAUAAAAUCUCCAAAUAGCCUGGCCAAAGGGGAAGAGUGCAGUAGCUUGAGACAAAUGUCUGUUCAAAGAAUCCUUGCAUUCCUUGUCUUGACUGGGGCGAGUAGAAAACACCCCAUAGAAGUCUACUUGUCUUCUUCAGGCAAGAGGCACCCCACUUCGGGUCAUUCAUGGCUGUAGCAGCCAGGAUUCCCAUUUAAUACCCCUUCAUGGGGAACAAUAGGGACAGUAUUAGUGUUCCCCAGGGAACCCUUAAAUCCUGGGCUCCAAGUAGGUUACUGGUACAGCCAGGAAUGGUGAAGACACCUGCUGUUAAAUUAUGUGAACCCAGUCCAAGACUGCUAGAAAUUCAGUUUAGAAGCUAUUUUGACCUAGAACUGGCAUCUUAGAUUAUUGCAUAUUACAAAACUUGAGACUGCUGAAAGAUCUCACUCCUAUCAAAUGAAUUAUUGGUUAAUUAUUAGCCUUAUUAGGUAGCUGUCAGUAAUAGACUAUGCCCAGCUACACCCGUAGUGGGGGAGUAUGACACUCUCCUCCACUUCUACAGGAAGCAGGAGUCAAUUGGGUAACCUAUGUCCUCUCAGGAGGGACUCCUUUAUACCAGAGAGCUGUCACGAGAUAGCCCAUCUGUCUUUGUCAUCUGUGUUUUUGUAUCCUGGCAAAUUAAAUCUGUGAAUGGGAGAACUUCAUCCCUAUCAGUUUAAUUAUUGGUUCUACAGUUAGAAUUCAAAAGGGAAUUAUUUAAAAUAGAGGUCUUAAAUUAUGUAAUGAUUGGUCUUAAAACAUAUUAAAAUCUUGAUAUGUUCCUGAUCCGGUCCAAAGAAGAGACUUUCAGUUACUAAAGACUUUGUGAUUACAGUCAGUAAAACCAUGCUCACUGGCUUUUUGGUUAAACUAAAAGAGGGAAAUAACAUUGCUGGCAAGUACAUCUAUUUGUUUUUCUGUGUUUUUGUCUUGAUAAUUAAACUAACUCUUUCUUUACAGUCUGAUCAUCCAAAAGGAGAAUGGUAUAGAGAAUAAACACUUUCUACAGAACCUUGAAAAGCCCUCAAAAAGGAAAGUUCCUCUCUCUGCCUUUCUGGCUCCCUCCAGCCUCAGGGAGGUAGACAAGAGACACAGAUAAGAAGGGAGGAAUCUUUUUUUUCCCCCCCAAUCUGCAGGAAUUUGUGGCAUUAUAUCCUAAUUAGAGACCAAAAUUAAUUUUCUUUAUUAUAAUUUUCCAAACUGCGGUUAAAAUUUUUUAUUUCUAUAAAAUUUGCUUAUAUCACUUUUUCUCUGGAGAGUGACCAAUUUACUGAUUAGAGAAAAGAAAACUGCAACUAGUGAAUUCCAAAGUGUUUGCAGUUUGCAGUUUGACCAUGGAGAGAAGAAAACUUGUUUUAAAAUGAGGAAGCAACUGAAAAGUAAGUAAAAUUUAAUGUUCUUCCCUGAGUGAUACAACAGAAAUCUAUUAGGUUAGUUAGACAUGCUGUGAAUCUAUAAUAAAUACUGAAAUAAUAUUCUAGGGUUACUCAGGGUAGAAUUAAACAAAGGAGUUAAUAGAGUACUCAAAUUACAAAAGACCAAAUUAAAAGGCAUAGCAAAAUUUGAAGUUUUGAGAAAGCAGAACAAAAUUUGCAAAUUAUUUCAGGUCAUUCUUGCCUAAUUCUCCUCCGUUUUGAAACACAUUUUAUGAGAUAAAAUUAGGAAGCUCACAAUUUAAAACAAAUUUUCAUCAUUUGGAGAUUAAUUUACAACGUACAAAGAAUUUUGAAAUUCAAAACACAAAUCCUGGUACUCCAUAAAGGAAAAGAUAGAUUAGAUUUAAAAAAUCAAUAUGACUUUUUUAGCCAUUUGGAAGAAAAUAGAGAAAAGGGGUUACACUUGGAAGCCUUGGGAAAAUUAUGGUUUCCAUCAGACAGAGAUUAAUUUUUUUAACCCUUCCCUUCUGUUUUAGAAUCAGUACCAAUUGCACUAACUGUUUGAUUCCAAGGCAGAAGAUUUGUAAGGGUAAGGGAUUGGGGUAAAGUGUGACUUGUCAUGGGCCAUAUCGGUGGGAGGUGGCUGAGGCCAAAUUUGAACCCAGUACCUCCCAUCUCCAGGUCUGGCUCUCUCUCCACUGAGCCAUUUACGUGCCUCACAGAUUGAUUCUUGAAGCCAAAAUUGUGAGUGCAGAUACUUCAUAAUCAAAGAAUUGUUCUAAUACUAAUCACUGUUGAGCAUUUGAUAAUGAGGCAGAUUUAAUUGGCUCAGAGAAAAUUACAAUCUGCUUCCCUAUCAAGGAGCUAGUGAAAUUGAUGUGUGUUUUUUUUAACAUGAGAGAAUUUGCAUAAAUGUACUAAUAUACAUCAUUAAAAGAUAAUAUUGUUUAAUUUCCAUUUAAUUGUUUUGCUCGAUUCUCAGCAAUUGUUGUCACACUAUCACUUUUUAGUUUGUGUGGUUAUGUCUAAAGCAGUUAGUUUUGUAGAAUGAAAGCAUAAGCUUCCUGAAAUCAAUGGGCUCUCAGGAAAAUUGAGAGUUAAAUAUUAUUAUUGGAGAUUAUAAAUCUAGGUUUGUUCUGGCUGGAAUUUUGUACUGAAACUAAAUUGUAGUUGUGGUAAAUCAGUGAAUUUCUUAGCAAAUAAACUUACUGAAUUCAAUAUUCCAUACAAAUGCAUGAUUCAAAUAAAUAUGAAUUAAAAUCCAGCUUCAGGAGUUUAUUAGUUAUGUGACUUUAUUUAGGUGAAUUGCCUACAUUACCUCAAUUUUCUCUUUAUGAAUAAAUAGUAACACCACCAGCACCCCAUGGUAGUUGGAAAAAUAAAAUGAUUGUAAAGUACUUGACAUAAUGUGCAUUGUCUGUGUUGGCUGUUGCUAUUGUGUCAUGACAUGCUGUAAUUUGACUUGAGAUAAAAACUCAUUGUGUUGUUUAGGCUUCUGUUUUUUGUAUAUUGUGAAAUCUGGGAAACUUGUAUCAGAAAUAUAAUUAAAAGGGGAAUUUCUCUUUUAAUGAGUCAACUCUGCUUUUAAAUAUAUGCCGUUAUAUGAAAUUUUCUAAUGUAUUGUGACGUGGGCACAGAGAAGCCCCUUCUCUAUUAAGCUGUUGAGAUGAAUGUGGUAACAGUGUUUGAAAAUUGUAUUAGAGGUACUUUUUACUCCUGAAGUAUAAAAUUAUUAUAAUUGAAUGAGAAGUCUGAGAGCCUUCAAGCCAGAGCCAUGAUCUGAAUUUGUAACUGUGUUUGAGUAAAGUUAGUGUCUCUUGUAGACCCCGUGAGAGGUCUUCAUGUUGCACAUGUCUAACAAUGUUUACUUUUAAUUGCCUGAAUUAAUGUCAUUUGACUAAAUUAGUUUUGUAUCUCAUAAAUUGGACUUCUAAAAAAUAGCAAAAUUAUUAAAAUUCCUACAUAUUCAGUGGGUUACAUUGCCUUUGUACAAGAUAAUCAUGGUAACUUGCUGUUUGAAUAGUGAAGUCCUAAGAUUUUAUCAACCCUAUUCCCUUAUCUUUAUCUAAAUAGAGAGUUAUAUACUAAAUAUUAAAAUAUAUCACUUAUUGUGAUGAAAUUUUUCCUUUAGCCACUAUAUUGAAUAUAGGAAACUUUAUCUAUUAAUGGAUAUUAUAUGAUUUGAAACCAAUGCUGUUGAUCGUUAUUGGCACAUAAAACAGAAUAAUUAUAUCUUACCCUAAUAUAUGCUUCACAGAGUUUUGCUAUUUAAGGUAAAAUCUUUGGGACUUUAAUUUGAUAGAGUUCUGAGUUUUGAUUUCAGGUGUGCUGUUAAGAUCACAAACCUAUUAAUCCACCAUUCUAAGGGCUGCCAUAUUCUGCAGUGUGAGGACUGCUACAGGUGGAUGUUUGCCUUUGGGAGAAAGUCAAGGGGACGACCUUGCAACGUUGAAGGUAGGAUCCUCUUGACUUGGUUUCCCAUUAAACUACUUCCUUUCUGAAGAGGAAAUAUUCCCACCUAUUUGAGCCUGGCUUUUGGUAGCCUUUGAAUAAUGUGGACCUCUGGCAUGAUUGGCUAUUAACUAUUGCUCUGGCCUGGAAUCAAAAUAAAACUGUCUUUUCCCCUUGUUAUAACUUCCCACUAUCAUAUCCAUGUCCCUCCUUUUCCUUUCAUAGCAAAUUUCUGUAACAAGUGCUGGGAGUGAAACACUUCAGCUUAUAAAAUGGAACCACAUUCUAGAGAUUUAUGGCAGGUAAUUAGUUAUUAGCAAAACAUCUGAAUUAUAGAAAGAUGAUUCGCAUCUGGCUUGUAGUUAUAUUCAUGUAUAGACUAUAAGAAUUAUAUCCUCAUAAGGAGGAAGUAAGAGGGAAAUGUGACAAAGAUAGUUUUCAAAAUUGCAUUAAGGACUUCAACAUGUGAUCUUGCAUUGAUAAAUUGUAUCCAUAAUUGUAAAGUGGGUGUAUUUAUUUUUGUAAUUGAAGUAUUUAUCUUAAAGUAUUAAAAGAAAGAACAACUCAUUUUCCAAUUCAGGCCCUUGCAGAGUCUUUGUAAGAACAUAUAAAGGGUUUAAGUAAAGAUAGAAAACAGAGUGGUAUGUAACAACUGAAAUCUCUGAAGUUUCAGGUGCAUUGUGGGUUCUUAAUUUGAUGUUCUUGUAGCUCCAUUGUUAAUAAAAUCAGAACCAUAAGACUUGGGCAGGUUUUUCACCAUAUGAACUAGAAAUUGUGUUGAGUUUGUAUUAAGCCUUCCUGCAUGCUCUUGGCAUCUGAGAAGCAGAUCUGGAAAGACAACCAACAUCUGUGGCCUCAUAUCCAAAGCACUAUACAACUUAGGACUGCACCACAACUUUACCUUUGGACUUUUUCAUCUACAUCAAGAAUUUCCAGUGACCCAGUGGAACUACUUCAUCAACGCCCUCAUUCUCCCCCCCCCCCCCCAUGCGCCAUUGCCUCUGUACCAAAGGGGAAUGCCCCCUGAACAUUUCUGUCAAUGCGCCAGCCCUCCAUGGUAAGGCUUUAGCCUAUAGAACAUCCCCCUGACUUUAAAUUCUGGCACUGCCAUUAGUUCUAACACUGUUGCCCAUAUGCCUCUCAUGAAAACUGGAUAAUGAUUAAUCUGGUGUUGGACUUUCUAUAGUCAGGUAUGACAUCUGCUCCUUGGACCUAUGGAUGUUGGGUCUGUCACCAGCUCUACCAAAGCACCCCCAAAUAAUGGGUACCUGUUCCUGUCCAGCUUUGCAAUUUUUAGGGAUAGGAUCCCCUCACUUGCUGCUAAUUCCUUGUGGAAUGAUCCCUAUUCUUGGGUUUCUAAGAUGUGUUCCUGACUAGGAGGUGAGGGCAUACGUUUCCUUCUGGCCUUCUGUAAAAUACAUUACAUGUUCUACUUGUGUGUUCUCUUAGGAUGACUGCAGAGACAGUUAACACAAGGUUUUUUUUGGUUGUUGUUGCUGUAAUGAUUGCCUUCUGUAUUUCAUGAUGUUUAUGUGAAUCUCCCCUCUCAACUUGACUUCAUAUACCUACACAGUCCCCCCAGUGCUAAGGGAUGCCGAUCAUGUCUAAUUAUAUUGAUGUAGUUUGUGGAAAGCCAUUCAUGGGAAACGUCUUCCUUGAAUCAAAGGGGGAUGUUGUGGAAUUGUAAAUUGAUACUUCUUUAUUUUGUAUUAUUUUAUUGGUUUAUUUAAUUUACUAUGUGUUAAUGGUCACAUUGUUAUGUAUCAGUCAUUCCUUUUUAGUAUGUGAACUUGAAUUCUCUCUGAACUUAAGCUUACGGCUGCAAGCUUCUAAUUGUAACCUGUCACCCUCCAUCAACAAAGUAAUCAUGUUAUACAUUGCUGGCUAAGUCAUCCUUUUAUUGUUUCUUCAUGCACACUUUAAUACCCACAAGUACAAACAACUCGAGUAUUAUUUCCCCUUUCCUGGGUAUUUUCUACUCACAAAAAUUCUAAUUCAAUCCAAAAUCAGAAAGUGCCAACCAUGGGACUUUACAGAGGUUAGGCCAUCUGGUAACUAUCUGAUGUCAUUUCUGGUUGGGAAUCAUUCAGAAGUGAGAUACACCUGUGUUGCCCAAGAUUGUGUUGACUGAGCUGAUCAGUUCUUCCACUGACUCUAAAAGAGCUACCUUGACUGUCAGAUGUAACCUUAGCAACUGAGGACCUUGGAUCCCAUUUAUUGGCAAUUGCUAACUUUGCUAAUAAAUUGAAUAUGCUUUGAA